rnacentral:lncRNA from 1 species
GGCAACCCGUGGCGCCUUAGCUUGGUUCUUUAUUUCUCCCGCGACGUGGCGCAGUUAUCAUUCUUAAAUCUACGGGACUCAAGCCUGGAGAGCCGGCUUCGUCCGUUGUUCUCGGAGCGCGGACUGCACUCUUCGGCCGCAGCCGGGCGUGCCGCGGAGCCUCCCAAGGUUUCCACCUGUGGGCUUUGCGGGAUCCCGGAGAGCUGGCUGUCUAGACCGAGGAGUUUUUCAGUGAUCAAGUUGAAGAAAAAUUUGUGAGCAUUGCCUUUCAACUACACAGAAAUUUUGUUGGCAAUUUUUUUUUCUAGAC